AACGCACAUUGCGCCCCCUGGCAUUCCGGGGGGCAUGCCUGUCCGAGCGUCAUUUCUGCCCUCAAGCACGGCUUGUGUGUUGGGUGUGGUCCCCUCCCUGGCGGGGGGACCUGCCCGAAAGGCAGCGGCGACGUCGCGUCCGGUCCUCGAGCGUAUGGGGCUUUGUCACUCGCUCGGGAAGGACCUGCGCACGUCUGUCACAACUGUAUUUUUUACCACGGUUGACCUCGGAUCAGGUAGGAGUUACCCGCUGAACUUAA
rnacentral:misc_RNA from 1 species